rnacentral:rRNA from 1 species
CCUACGGGAGGCAGCAGUGGGGAAUCUUGCGCAAUGGACGAAAGUCUGACGCAGCCAUGCCGCGUGAGUGAUGAAGGUCUUAGGAUUGUAAAGCUCUUUCGCUCGCGACGAUGAUGACGGUAGCGAGAGAAGAAGCCCCGGCUAACUUCGUGCCAGCAGCCGCGGUGAUACGAAGGGGGCUAGCGUUGUUCGGAAUUACUGGGCGUAAAGCGUGCGCAGGCGGUUUUUUAAGCCAGAGGUGAAAUCCCGGAGCUCAACUUCGGAAUGGCCUUUGGAACUGGAAAGCUUGAGAACGGUAGAGGUGAGUGGAAUUCCCAGUGUAGAGGUGAAAUUCGUAGAUAUUGGGAAGAACACCGGUGGCGAAGGCGGCUCACUGGACCGUUUCUGACGCUCAGGCACGAAAGCGUGGGGAGCAAACAGGAUUAGAUACCCUGGUAGUCCACGCCUUAAACGAUGGAUGCUAGCCGUUGUGAGGCAUGCCUCUCAGUGGCGCAGCUAACGCGUGAAGCAUCCCGCCUGGGGAGUACGGCCGCAAGGUUAAACUUAAAUGAAUUGACGG